rnacentral:rRNA from 1 species
CCUACGGGUGGCUGCAGGGAGGAAUAUUGGCCAAUGGGCGGAAGCCUGAACCAGCCAAGUCGCGUGAGGGAUUAAGGCCCUGCGGGUCGUAAACCUCUUUUGCCGGGGAGCAAAGGUCCGGACGUGUCCGGGCCGGGAGAGUACCCGGAGAAAAAGCAUCGGCUAACUCCGUGCCAGCAGCCUGGGUAAUACGGAGGAUGCGAGGGUUACCCGGAUUUAUUGGGUUUAAAGGGGGUGUAGGCGGGCAUUUAAGCCGGCGGUCAAAUGUCGGGGCUCAACCCCGGCCUGCCGUCGGAACUGGGUGCAUCGAGUGGGCGAGAAGUAGGCGGAAUGCGUGGUGUAGCGGUGAAAUGCAUAGAUAUCACGCAGAACCCCGAUUGCGAAGGCAGCAUACCGGCGCCCUACUGACGCUGAGGCACGAAAGUGCGGGUAUCGAACAGGAUUAGAUACCCUAGUAGUC